rnacentral:rRNA from 1 species
UGGGGAAUUUUGGACAAUGGGCGAAANCCUGAUCCAGCAAUGCCGCGUGUGUGAAGAAGGCCUUCGGGUUGUAAAGCACUUUUGUCCGGAAAGAAAUCCUUGGCUCUAAUACAGUCGGGGGAUGACGGUACCGGAAGAAUAAGCACCGGCUAACUACGUGCCAGCAGCCGCGGUAAUACGUAGGGUGCAAGCGUUAAUCGGAAUUACUGGGCGUAAAGCGUGCGCAGGCGGUUUGCUAAGACCGAUGUGAAAUCCCCGGGCUCAACCUGGGAACUGCAUUGGUGACUGGCAGGCUAGAGUAUGGCAGAGGGGGGUAGAAUUCCACGUGUAGCAGUGAAAUGCGUAGAGAUGUGGAGGAAUACCGAUGGCGAAGGCAGCCCCCUGGGCCAAUACUGACGCUCAUGCACGAAAGCGUGGGGAGCAAACAGGAUUAGAUACCCUGGUAGUCCACGCCCUAAAACGAUGUCAACUAGUUGUGGGGAUUCAUUCCUUAGUAACGUAGCUAACGCGUGAAGUUGACCGCCUGGGGAGUACGGUCGCAAGAUUAAAACUCAAAGGAAUUGACGGGGUCAUAGCUGUUUCCU